AGGGUGAGGGCUAGGGCGAUGGCGAGGACGAGGGCAAGGACAAGAGUGAGGGUGAGGGUAAGUGUUAGGGUUUGGGUUCAGGUUAGGGUUCAGGUUAGGGUUCGGGUUCGGGUUCUAGGACCUUUGACUGCAGGAAAUCAAAUGGCUGAUCGCCUAGUUGCUAAUGCCAUAUCUAAUGCUAGGCAGUUUCACAAUUUAACCCAUGUUAAUGCGUCUGGUCUUAAAUGCAGAUGCAGCAUUACCUGGAAAGAAGCUAAAGCUGUGCGGUUCCAUGAUGGCCGAAUAGGAACAGCUCUAGGUUACAACUCUCAGCGAGCGACACAUAAGACAGGUGUUUUCUGUAUUUCCAACUGUGGUACCAGGUUCAUCUCACUGGGGCGCAUUGGACAAUGGGUGCUGGACAGUGGGUGCAGCCCACCGAGUGAGAGUCGAAGCAGGGUGAGGUGUUGCCUCACCCAGGAAGUGCAAGGGGACCCACUCAAGAAGAGGCAAUGGCUUUGGAGCACCUGGUAGUGUGUCCACAGUGAAGACCAGAGUUUCGUUGUCCUCAAGACUGACCUGGGGAGACGUGGCUGCGGGCCAGUGAGGAAGGUGAGGCUAAAGCUUCCUGUCUGUUCCCUGGGUGCUAAAGGGAGCUCUGCCAUGGGCUUUACUUCACACGUUAUAUUCUGCAAGUCUUGUUUUACAAAAGCAUCCCUUCCUCAAGGCUUUGGUUGCUCAUCAUCACAGCGUGUCAUAACACAUGAUAAGAUUUGGGUUUGCUUCUGCUGGGAGAUCUUGGUAUACAGAAAGGAGAAAUGCUUAGAGCCACUGUCGGGACAGUUGGGAUGAAAGCUGGAGAUGGGCAGAGGCUGGAGGAAACAUGUACACCCCCUGUAAAUGCUUUUAUUCAUGUUUUCAUUACUCAUUUUUCUUACAGUGUUAAAUUAGUAAAAAUAGUAUUGAAAAAUUGAAAAGUAGGCAUAUUAAAACUUGCAAUAUUAUUUAAGUUUAAAUAUAUUAUUUGUACCUCAUCGACAUUUUUUAUUUUGUUGAGAAAGUCAAAGGUUAAUUGGCAGCAUAUUUUUAAUAGUAGAUAGAAUAAUGUCUGUUUUAUAAACAUUGACAUCCUACAUUACAUGUGUGAACCCUGAAAAUCUGAGACAGGUCUCAGAUUUUUUAGAAAGUUUAUUUUGCCAUGUUUGAGGAUGUGCCCGUGAUGCCUCCGCAGGAGGUACCGACAACGCAGGCCCAAGGUGGUCAGGGCCCAGCUUGGUUUUACACACUUUAGGGAGACAUGAGACAUCAAUCAAUAUGUGAAAGAUGUACCUUGGUUCACUCCAGAAAGGUGAGACAACUUGAAGAGAAGGCCAGAGAGGGAGCUUCCAGGUCAUAGGUACAUAAGAGACAAAUGGUUUCAUUCUUUUGAGUUGCCGGUUACUCUCUCCCAAUGAGGCACUCAGAUACGCAUUUCUCUUGGUGAGCAGAUGGGUGACUCUCAGAGGGAGUCCUGUGUUGUCGACAAGCAUUCUGA
rnacentral:lncRNA from 1 species